rnacentral:rRNA from 1 species
AAUGAACGCUGGCGGCGUGCCUAACACAUGCAAGUCGUACGAGAAAGGGGCUUCGGCCCUGAGUAGAGUGGCGCACGGGUGAGUAACGCGUGGGUAAUCUGCCCUUGGAUUUGGAAUAACUCCGCGAAAGUGGAGCUAAUACCGGAUAGUCUGGCUUUUUAACGAAGUCGGUAAAGGAUGCCUCUGCAUAUGCAUUCGUCCGAGGAUGAGCCCGCGUCUCAUUAGCUAGGUGGUAGGGUAAUGGCCUACCAAGGCAACGAUGAGUAGCUGGUCUGAGAGGAUGGACAGCCACACUGGAAAUGAAACACGGUCCAGACUCCUACGGGAGGGAGCAGUGGGGAAUAUUGCGCAAUGGGCGAAAGCCUGACGCAGCAAUGCCGUGUGAGGGAUGAAGGCUUUAGGGUCGUAAGCCUCUGUCAGAAGGGAAGAACGGGCAUUGGUCUAAUAGGCCUUUGUUUUGACGGUACCUUCAGAGGAAGCACCGGCUAACUCCGUGCCAGCCGCCGCAGUAACAC